UUGGUGACCAGCGGAGGGAUCAUUACCGAGUUUACAACUCCCAAACCCAAUGUGAACGUUACCAAACUGUUGCCUCGGCGGGAUCUCUGCCCCGGGUGCGUCGCAGCCCCGGACCAAGGCGCCCGCCGGAGGACCAACCAAAACUCUUUUUGUAUACCCCCUCGCGGGUUUUUUUUAUAAUCUGAGCCUUCUCGGCGCCUCUCGUAGGCGUUUCGAAAAUGAAUCAAAACUUUCAACAACGGAUCUCUUGGUUCUGGCAUCGAUGAAGAACGCAGCGAAAUGCGAUAAGUAAUGUGAAUUGCAGAAUUCAGUGAAUCAUCGAAUCUUUGAACGCACAUUGCGCCCGCCAGUAUUCUGGCGGGCAUGCCUGUCCGAGCGUCAUUUCAACCCUCGAACCCCUCCGGGGGGUCGGCGUUGGGGAUCGGCCCUCCCUUAGCGGGUGGCCGUCUCCGAAAUACAGUGGCGGUCUCGCCGCAGCCUCUCCUGCGCAGUAGUUUGCACACUCGCAUCGGGAGCGCGGCGCGUCCACAGCCGUUAAACACCCAACUUCUGAAAUGUUUGACCUCGGAUCAGGUAGGAAUACCCGCUGAACUUAAGCAUAUCAAUAAAG
rnacentral:rRNA from 1 species